GGGUUGCGUGUGUGGGGUUGUGGGAGUUUGCUUGACUGGUCUGCCGGCCGGUCGGUGAGUGAUAAAUUGUUGAUGUAGGCGAAGGGCAUGCGAAAGGCCCGGCGUAGAGGGUAAGACCCCCGUAGCUGAAAUGUCAGCAACUUGCUUGCAAGCCACCCAAGUAGCAUGGGGCUCGAGGAAUCCUGUGUGAAUCUGGCGGGACCACCCGUUAAGCCUAA
rnacentral:rRNA from 1 species